rnacentral:rRNA from 1 species
AUGGCAAUGGCCAACAAUGGAGCUCAAGAACGCUCUCUCGACCUCCUCAGAGGCAUCUCUCCUAACCAGGCACAAGACAUAGUCCAUAACUGCGGCAUUGCAGGGCAGCGUGAUCCUGCCUCCCUCGCUGCUCGCAAAGCCAAACUCCUCCCCAGCGAUCCUCAGGAGUUCAGCGAAGACUGUCGUGCCGAGGUACGCCAGCGGGACCUCGAACCGCGCCCCGUCGGCGGUGUACACCACGCAAUAGCCCUUGUCAGCGACUGUGCUGCAGCACUCGUCAGCUUGCUGACCACCGGCCCUGGCUGCGACCUUCCUCUGCCACUUUUUGGCCAGCUGAGCAAGCUUCUUUGGAUGGAUCAUGUUUGA